rnacentral:rRNA from 1 species
UACGUAGGGAGCAAGCGUUGUCCGGAUUUAUUGGGCGUAAAGGGCUCGUAGGCGGUUUAGAAAGUCAGGUGUGAAACCUCCAGGCUCAACCUGGAGACGCCACUUGAUACUUCUAUGACUUGAGUUCGGUAGGGGACCAUGGAAUUCCUGGUGUAGCGGUGAAAUGCGCAGAUAUCAGGAGGAACACCGAUGGCGAAGGCAGUGGUCUGGGCCGAUACUGACGCUGAGGAGCGAAAGCGUGGGGAGCGAACAGG